AGAAAGCAGUUGUUGUUGGGGGAUUCUAUCUUAAGAGGAGUAGAGUUGAACAAUAGUGGCUUUGUCAGGGGCGUAUUAGCCGCGAGGCAAACAAGGCAUUUUUCUUGGGCGGCAUUUUCCAGGGGGCGGCAAAAAACGCUGCCCCCCAAAUGCCCAUGGCAAAUGUCUUAUUAGCCUCGCGGCUAACAGGCAUGCUGGGCGCUGGGCGGGCG